UACGGAGGGGGUUAGCGUUGUUCGGAAUUACUGGGCGUAAAGCGCGCGUAGGCGGACUGAUUAGUUGGGGGUGAAAGCCCGGGGCUCAACCCCGGAACUGCCUCCAAAACUAUCAGUCUAGAGUUCGAGAGAGGUGAGUGGAAUUCCGAGUGUAGAGGUGAAAUUCGUAGAUAUUCGGAGGAACACCAGUGGCGAAGGCGGCUCACUGGCUCGAUACUGACGCUGAGGUGCGAAAGUGUGGGGAGCAAACAGG
rnacentral:rRNA from 1 species